UACGUAGGGCGCAAGCGUUGUCCGGAAUUAUUGGGCGGUAAGAAGCUCGUAGGUGGCUUGUCACGUCGGGUGUGAAAGCUUGGGGCUUAACUCCAGGUCUGCAUUCGAUACGGGCUGGCUAGAGUGUGGUAGGGGAGAUCGGAAUUCCUGGUGUAGCGGUGAAAUGCGCAGAUAUCAGGAGGAACACCGGUGGCGAAGGCGGAUCUCUGGGCCAUUACUGACGCUGAGGAGCGAAAGCGUGGGGAGCGAACAGG
rnacentral:rRNA from 1 species